AUUGAACGCUGGCGGCAUGCCUUACACAUGCAAGUCGAACGGCAGCGGACCUUCGGGUGCCGGCGAGUGGCGAACGGGUGAGUAAUAUAUCGGAACGUACCUUUCAGUGGGGGAUAACGUAGCGAAAGUUACGCUAAUACCGCAUAUUCUGUGAGCAGGAAAGCAGGGGAUCGCAAGACCUUGCGCUGAUUGAGCGGCCGAUAUCAGAUUAGCUAGUUGGUGAGGUAAGGCUCACCAAGGCGACGAUCUGUAGCGGGUCUGAGAGGAUGAUCCGCCACACUGGAACUGAGACACGGUCCAGACUCCGUACGGGA
rnacentral:rRNA from 1 species